rnacentral:rRNA from 1 species
UUGAGGAAGUAAAAGUCGUAACAAGGUUUCCGUAGGUGAACCUGCGGAAGGAUCAUUACACAUAGCGGGAGCCGGAAGACAGUCCCCCUGUAGCAAAAAUUACGGGGGGUAGGACUCUCGCCCCGAGCAAUCGGGCCACCCUGCUUUUAAGCACCAUUUGUUUCCUCGGCGGGCUUGCCCGCCAAUGGGGACCCCCAAAACCCUUUGCAAUAAGCAGUACCAGUCGGUAUGAAUCUUAUCACAACUUUCAACAAUGGAUCUCUUGGCUCUGGCAUCGAUGAAGAACGCAGCGAAAUGCGAUAAGUAGUGUGAAUUGCAGAAUUCCGUGAAUCAUCGAAUCUUUGAACGCACAUUGCGCCCCUCGGUAUUCCUUGGGGCAUGCCUGUUCGAGCGUCAUUUACACCCUCAAGCUCUGCUUGGUGUUGGGCGCCUGUCCCGCCUCCCGUGCGCGGACUCGCCUCAAAGCGAUUGGCGGCUGGUGCCACGGCCUGGAGUGCAGCAGAAUUGCGCUCCUCGCCCCGCGGCCCGGCUCCCAGAAGCGACUCUUCUCUUAUUU